GAAACCCCGGUGGCGUGACUUAUUCGCACCCCUGGUCGUACUGAUAACCGCAUCAGGUCAACAAGAUUAAUUGUCUCUAGUUGAUAGAAUAAUGUAGGUAAGGGAAGUCGGCAAAUUAGGUCCGUAACUUCGGGAAAAGGACUGGCUCUGAGGGUUGGGCGUUUGGGGCCUUUCUCUUGAAGCGGGCGUUAGCGUCGGGACUA
rnacentral:rRNA from 14 species